UACGGUAGGGGGCUAGCGUUGUCCGGAAUCAUUGGGCGUAAAGCGCGUGUAGGCGGCCCGGUAAGUCCGCUGUGAAAGUCGGGGGCUCAACCCUCGGAUGCCGGUGGAUACUGUCGGGCUCGAGGUACGGAAGAGGCGAGUGGGAAAUUCCUGGUGUAGCGGUGAAAUGCGCAGAUAUCAGGAGGAACACCAAUUGCGAAGGCAGCUCGCUGGGACGUAACUGACGCUGAGACGCGAAAGCGUGGGGAGCAAACAGG
rnacentral:rRNA from 1 species